AGAGUUUGAUCCUGGCUCAGGAUGAACGCUUGCGAUGUGUCUAAGGCAUGCAAGUCGAAUGCCCUAGCUUGCUAGGGCAUGGCAAACGGGAGAGUAACACAUUGGUAACUUACCUCGAAGACGGGAAUAACCCAGAGAAAUCUGGAAUAAUACCCGAUAGCCGUGGGGGGACACAAGUCAUUUCCACGUAAAGCUCCGACGCUUCGAGAGAGACCUAUGUUCUAUCAGCUUGUUGGUGAGGUAACGGCUCACCAAGGCGACGACGGAUAGCGGGUGUGAGAGCAUGGCCCGCCUCACUGGGACUGAGAUACUGCCCAGACUCCUACGGGAGGCUGCAGUCAAGAAUCUUCCUCAAUGGCCGAAAGGCUGAAGGAGCGACAUCGCGUGCAGGAGGAAGCCCUUCGGGGUGUAAACUGCUUUUCUCUGGGAAGAAACAAUGACGGUACCAGAGGAAUAAGGGGUUGCUAAACUCGUGCCAGCAGCAGCGGUAAUACGAGUACCCCGAGCGUUAUCCGGAUUUAUUGGGCGUAAAGCGUGCGCAGACGGUUUAUAACAUCUCUUGUUAAAUCCCAAGGCUCAACCUUGGGGCCGCGGGAGAUAUGGAUAAACUAGAGGCUGGAAGAGGUAAGCGGAAUUGCUGGUGUAGGGGUUAAAUCCGUUAAUAUCAGCAGGAACACCAAAAGCGAAGGCAGCUUACUGGAACAGUUCUGACGUUCAGGCACGAAAGCGUGGGGAGCGAAUGGGAUUAGAUACCCCAGUAGUCCACGCCCUAAACGAUGCACACUAGGUAUGGGAGGAAUCGACCCCUUCCGUGCCGCAGCUAACGCGUUAAGUGUGCCGCCUGGGAAGUACGAGCGCAAGCUUAAAACUCAAAGGAAUAGACGGGGAUCCGCACAAGUGGUGGAGCAUGUGGUUUAAUUCGACGAUAACCGAGGAACCUCACCAGGGUUUGAAAUCUGGCUGGAGAUCUUAGAAAUAAGAAGUCCUUCGAGGCCGCCAGACCAGGUGCUGCAUGGUCGUCGUCAGCUCGUGUCGUAAGAUGUUCCGUUAAGUCGGGAAACGAGCGCAACCCCUGUCGCGUGUUACACGUAUCACGCGAGACCGCCCCGUACCUUUUUUCUGAUGUUUUCGGAGAAAGGGUACGGGGAGGAAGGAGGGGAUGACGUCAGAUCAGCAUGGCCCUCUGACACCCUGGGCGACACACGUGCUACAAUGGCCGGUAUAAAGGGUUGCCAAGUCGCGAGACGGAGCUAAUCCCAAAAAACCGGCCCCAGUUCGGAUUGGAGUCUGCAACUCGACU
rnacentral:rRNA from 1 species